AGUGGGUUUGAAGUAAACAUGGGUCGUCGUCUCAUAUUUAACUUCGUUGAGGCGUUCAAUCUGUCGGUUUGUUCGAGACGUGAGUUUUCGUAAAAAACAAUUUAUUCUUACGAUCUGUCGGGAACGUUGAGAUAUGAACGGAGAGACAUGUUUUAGGAUCUCGUAUCGUUAGAUAUCAUGUCUUUGAGAUGUCUGAGACCAAUGCGAUGGGUUUAGGGCAAGACCUAGGUUUACUCUCGGUUUUAAGGUUUGUGCGGUGACUAGCCAGCUAUCGAUUUUCCUGUUGCGAUUUAUACCUGAUUCGUACCGAUUUAAAGUCCGCGAUAGGUUCUCUGC
rnacentral:lncRNA from 1 species